UAGGAGCAACAAUAAUCACCUGUGCUGGCUGCAGCAAUCAGCCACAGGUGAAUGAGAUCCCCAAAUCAGGUCUCCCAUGAAGGGAAGGAGAGGUCAUUGCUGAGUUUGCUCUCCAAAGGACGACACCUGCUCCACCUUUCUUUGCUGAGUGCGUCCACAUGAAAAACCACUUGACAAAUUAAGGAAAAAACCUGAGCUAAUAAAAACCUUAAAGUGGAAUUAUCUCGCUGCCUUCAUUGCCAUGCCUCAACUCAACUUUUGAUGUCAAUGAGCUUCAGCCCUCAACAUUUAGGUUACACCUAAAACAGUUACAGAAUAAUGACCUGACACUGGCCUGCAAAAUAUUGUGUUGGGAUUAUCUUCUGGGGGUCAUGAAUGCCUGUUUGUUUGCAUUGAUACAGGUGGUGUAGAAGUAAAGUCAUAGAAUCAUCGAAAGCUUAUAUGGAAAUAUGGUA